AUACGGAGGGGGUUAGCGUUGUUCGGAAUUACUGGGCGUAAAGCGUACGUAGGCGGACUGGAAAGUUGGGGGUGAAAUCCCGGGGCUCAACCCCGGAACUGCCUCCAAAACUUCCAAUCUAGAGAUCGAGAGAGGUGAGUGGAAUUCCAAGUGUAGAGGUGAAAUUCGUAGAUAUUUGGAGGAACACCAGUGGCGAAGGCGGCUCACUGGCUCGAUACUGGCGCUGAGGUACGAAAGCGUGGGGAGCAAACAGGAUUAGAUACCCUAGUAGUCC
rnacentral:rRNA from 1 species